AAACAACGGAGAGUUUGAUCCUGGCUCAGGAUGAACGCUAGCGACAGGCUUAACACAUGCAAGUCGAGGGGCAGCGGGGAUGUAGCAAUACAUCUGCCGGCGACCGGCGCACGGGUGAGUAACACGUAUGCAACCCACCCUCAGCAGGGGGAUAACCCGGAGAAAUCCGGCCUAAUACCGCGUACACCUCCGCAGAGACAUCUCCGUGGAGGGAAAGGAGCGAUCCGGCUGAGGACGGGCAUGCGUCGCAUUAGGUAGACGGCGGGGUAACGGCCCACCGUGCCGACGAUGCGUAGGGGUUCUGAGAGGAAGGCCCCCCACACUGGUACUGAGACACGGACCAGACUCCUACGGGAGGCAGCAGUGAGGAAUAUUGGUCAAUGGCCGAGAGGCUGAACCAGC
rnacentral:rRNA from 1 species